UACGUAGGGGGCAAGCGUUGUCCGGAAUCAUUGGGCGUAAAGAGCGCGUAGGCGGUCCGGUAAGUCCGCUCUGAAAGUCCGGGGCUCAACCCCGGGAGGCGGGCGGAUACUGUCGGGCUAGAGUCCGGAAGAGGCAAGUGGAAUUCCUGGUGUAGCGGUGAAAUGCGCAGAUAUCAGGAGGAACACUAAUGGCGAAGGCAGCUCGCUGGGACGGUACUGACGCUGAGGCGCGAAAGCGUGGGGAGCAAACAGG
rnacentral:rRNA from 1 species